GAACCGACUAAUGUUGAAAAAUUAGCGGAUGACUUGUGGCUGGGGGUGAAAGGCCAAUCAAACCGGGAGAUAGCUGGUUCUCCCCGAAAGCUAUUUAGGUAGCGCCUCGUGAAUUCAUCUCCGGGGGUAGAGCACUGUUUCGGCAAGGGGGUCAUCCCGACUUACCAACCCGAUGCAAACUGCGAAUACCGGAGAAUGUUAUCACGGGAGACACACGGCGGGUGCUAACGUCCGUCGUGAAGAGGGAAACAACCCAGACCGCCAGCUAAGGUCCCAAAGUCAUGGUUAAGUGGGAAACGAUGUGGGAAGGCCCAGACAGCCAGGAUGUUGGCUUAGAAGCAGCCAUCAUUUAAAGAAAGCGUAAUAGCUCACUGGUCGAGUCGGCCUGCGCGGAAGAUGUAACGGGGCUAAACCAUGCAC
rnacentral:rRNA from 1 species